UUUAACGCUAACUAAAGUUAGCGUAGACAUGUGAGGCGUAACAAAAUAAUUAUGAAAGUUAACACUAAAAUGUGUGAACUUUUAGCUCUACACACUUUUUAGUGUGUAGAAAUUUUUACACACUUUUGAGUGAACGGUGCCGUGAUAUGUUGUAACGACGUGCUGAUGCAGUAGGACGGCUACUAAAGGCACAGAAACGGCGUGAAGGUGCAUUCGGGAGCCAGCGCGCUGAUGCACUGGAACAACUGGUGGUUGAUUUGGGACGUCAUGCUAAUGCAUUGGAACGCGGAGCCAUUGAGUUGGAACAUCGUGCUCGUGCAUUCGGCCAGAGGGCAGCUACAUUGAAACGCCAGGCUGAUGCAUCCAAAGCAAGUAUGGAAUUUUUUAAGCAAAGGUACAAAGAGAAUAUGCGGUCGGCAAGCCAGAAGAUCAAGCAUAAGUUGGAAUGAUAAUGGUAUUGGAACAGGGUGGGAUUUUGUGGUGACUGGUGACGUGGAAUGAAGCUGUUGAGGUUUGAUGUGAACUUGGUGCUCAAAGCGAUGGCUUAGAGAAAUAGUAUUCCAUGAAUAAUAACAUCCUUGAAGACUUUAGCACAUGGAAUCAAACGUCUACGUUCCAGUUCAUGAAGAACAUUAGUUAUGAAGGGACUUUGUUUCGAAGGCAUUAUGAGGUUUGAUUUUCUCUAGAUUUGGUUGAAAAGUUGAGCUAAGAAUGCAUGGUGAUGCAAAACCAUAAAGUGAGCUCAACAUUGUGUGGUAUAGUUUCUUAAAAUGCAUCCUAAAUUGACUUGAAGUCCUGAUUAGCAAACUUACAUAAAAGUUGACGAGUACAGUUUUUAUUGUGGGUUUAAUUUGUUUAUGGAUAUCACCCGAAACAUUUCAACGUACAAUAGAGCUGUGCAGUUUCUUUAAGAUUUUAACUACUGCCGAUGAAAAUAACCAGGUUAAUAGCUUGAUUAUGUUGCACCUUUUCAGACAAUAAUAUAAUAUCAGUUAUUUGGGCUAACUUUCUCUUUAUGUAAUUUCUUUUAUGAAUUAACGAGAGCAAGUACUCGCGCGUUGCGGCGGUAAGAUGAUGGGGGUGAUAGGUCAUAGAGUGUGAUAGCCAAAGGGACCUGUCAAAAACCUUACUGACUUGUUCGUUUGACCAAACGUUUGAAAUGCACAGUGUUACCUAUUGUUGUAUUCUUUGAAGUUUCUGAUCAAUUCUUUCCGUUUGUGAAGUACAUUCUAAUUUCAA